GCCUGAGGGGCGGGGAAGGGGCUGGCCCCGGAAGGCGGAGGAAAACCUGAAAAGAAAACAGCAACAAGCUGAGCUGCUGUGACUGAGGGAAACAAAAUGGCGGCGUCGAAGGGGAGCCUCUGGGUCAGGGCCCAACUGGGGCUCCCGCCGCUGCUGCUGCUGACCAUGGCCCUGGCCGGAGGCUCGGGGACCGCUUCGGCUGAAGCGUUUGACUCGAUCUUGGGUGAUACGGCGUCUUGUCACCGGGCCUGUCAGUUGACCUUCCCCUUGCAUACCUACCCCAAGGAAGAGGAGUUGUAUGCAUGUCAGAGAGGUUGCAGGCUGUUUUCAAUUUGUCAAUUUGUGGAUGAUGGAAUUGAUUUAAAUCGGACCAAAAUGGAAUGUGAAUCUGCAUGUACAGAAGCAUAUUCCCAAUCUGAUGAGCAAUAUGCUUGCCAUCUUGGUUGCCAGAAUCAGCUGCCAUUCGCUGAACUGAGACAAGAACAAGUACGAAACAAUACUGCCUUUCAAAAUUGCCUGCUUAAAUUGCACUGACUUGUAUUGAAGUGUUUAUCGCCCACUUGAUACUAUUUUAGUGUUAUAUUUUAUAAUUAGUUUUCAGCAAACAAAUUGUAUGUUUGCAAAUAGAAAACUCAACUGCAUAAUUACUUUUGUAUAAUGCUUUACUGUUAAAAGUUCCAAAAGUUCUGUUUUUUCUCUCGGUCCACUAUAUUAUCCCCAUUUUGCAUAUGAAAAAACUGAGGCUCAGAGAAGUUGAUAGUUCAGAGUCAUUUUUUUCCACCCCAACUGCCAUUGCCUUACUUCCUUACUUAAAUCAUCAUUAUUUCUCAUCUGUAUUACUAAACUUCCAAACUAUUUUCCCACUUUACCCGCUUCUAGUCCAUCCUUUAGUCUUUGUUCAGAUGUUUAUUUUCUAAGUGGAACUCUCAUCAUGUUAUUCUCCUAUUUUAUAUUCUUCAGUACCAGUACCUCCCAUUACAUACAGGAGUAAGUCCAAACCACUUAUCACAGCCUGGCUCCUGAUAUCCUCUCUUAUGUCAUCUCUCUUCCCCACCCCUCAUACUCUGUCCUCCAAACAUACUAGAAAAAAUUUGUUCAGAGGAAAUAUACUUACAUGGUAAAGAACUCAAAAGGUAAAAAGAGUAUGUAGUGAAAUCUCUCGUACCCCUGUAUCUCUUAAUCAUUCAGUUUUUCUCCAUUAAUGUAGCAAGUGUUACCAAGACAGGUAUUUUAUGCAUAUACAAGGAAACAGAUAUUCUUUCUUUUUUUAAAAUACAAGUAUACACAAAGAAUGUCUGAUCAUUUUUUUUUUUUUUUUUUUACUGCAUAAUCCAUUAUAGAUGUGUCUAUUUAAGCAGUCUCUUAUUUGGAAAUGUACCUUGUUUCUAAUCUUUUUCAUUUAUAAGCGAUGUUGCCUACUUUGCACAUUUAUACGAAUAGAAUAAAACCAGUCGAAUUGCUGAGUAAGAGGUAUCUGUAUUUUUAAUUUUGAGAAAUAGAGCAAAUUUGCUCUUUGUGGAAUUUUACCAAUUUUUUAACUCAAGGUAUAAUUCACAUACUAUAAAAUUCACCCUUCUAAAGUAUUCAAUAGUUGUUAGUAUAUUCACAAAGUUAUGCAACCAUCAUCACUGUCUAAUUCCAGGAAUUUUUAUCACCCCAAAAAGAAAUCCCCUACCCACUCCUUUCCUCCUUCCCCCCUUCCCCGACUCCUGAAAAUGUACCACUUUUAAGGUAGUUUAAAUUUAUGUUUCUCUUAUUAUGAUUAAUGUUAAACAUGUUUUCUAAUUUUUAAGAGUCGUUUUUUUUCUCUUAAUUGUAUACGUAGUGGACAGUUCUUAAUUUUUACAGUAUGAUGAGUUAUUACGUGCUUCUGUUUCUUCUACUCUCCAUCCUUCUAUUGAAUCCCCUUGAUUCAGGGCAGGUGUCAUUUCCUGUGUGAAGCCUUAACCACUCCUCACUCUGGUUUGGGUUAGGUGCCUCUCUCCAUAGACAUGUAUUACCCUAUUUUUAACCUCUGUCCUAUAUAGAUUACACAGAUUAAACACAGGUGUACGUUGAUGUAUAAAAUACACAUGGUCCCUGAUAUCCUAAAAUUUAUAAUCUCAGUGAAUACUUGUUUGGUGAAUUAAUCAAUGAAAGAUUUCACAGCUAUUAGUGGGGAAAUUGGAUCAUGAAUAUAGGUCUUUUGAUUCUAAAAACUGAUCUCUUACCCCGUAAUGCCUCUCUUGAAAUACAGCAGAACGAAAGCUAUCUCUAGAGUUCAGCAAAUGGUAUCUCAUACUUGUGCUCUAGAGGGGCCCACUGCUGCUAAUAAAUAAGCAAAGAAGUCAGAAUUGGGGGAAUGGGGACAUGAAACCAAUUAAUGUUAAAAUGAGUAGCUUAUAUAUUAGGAGCUGAAUAUAUAUAGCCCAUAAAUACUCCCCUCACCCUGCCCUAUUAUCAGAUGUCUUACAUUUUAUGCAUAUAUUCUUUUGAUUGAUUUUUUUUCCUUCCCCUUUUCCAUCAGCGUUCAUUGUAGAAUGAUUUAUUUUAAAUUUUUUUAAUGUUCAUUUAUUUUUGAGAGAAAGAAAGUGCAUGCAAGUGUGAGCAGGGGAGGGUCAGAGAGAGAGAGAGAGAGAGAGAAUGGGAGACACAGAAUCUGAAGAGAGAGAGAGAGAGAGAGGGAGACACAGAAUCUGAAGCAGGCUCCAGGCUCUGAGCUGUCAGCACAGAGCCCAAUGCAGGGCUCGAACUCACAAAUGGUGGGAUCAUGACCUGAGCUGAGGUCAGAUGCUUAACUGACUGAGCCACCCAGUCGCCCCUAGAAUGAUUUAUUUUACAUGAAAACAUCAGAGAUGAGGAUGGUAUAAUUUCUCCCUCCCCCUUCUAUCUCUUGAGUCCUUGCUAAUCCUUUUUUAAUCAAAUCUUAAGAUUCUCCAAAAUGUAUUUUGGGACCUAAUUCAAAAGCCUGAUAGAGGUGCCAGGUAGUUUAUAUGUGUGUUUGGUGAUAAAUUAAAGUAGCCUGGGAUAUUAAGCUUUAUCACAGUUAAUUUGCAUAGAUAACUAAGAGUUUAAUGCUAGUAGAAUCACUUAACUUUUUAUUCUCUGUCUCAAUCAGGAUUUGAGGAAUG